rnacentral:rRNA from 1 species
UACGUAGGGUGCGAGCGUUGUCCGGAAUUAUUGGGCGUAAAGGGCUCGUAGGCGGUCUGUUGCGUCGGGAGUGAAAACUCAGGGCUUAACCCUGAGCCUGCUUCCGAUACGGGCAGACUAGAGUACGGAAGAGGCGAGUGGAAUUCCUGGUGUAGCGGUGGAAUGCGCAGAUAUCAGGAGGAACACCAAUAGCGAAGGCAGCUCGCUGGGACGUUACUGACACUGAGGCGCGAAAGCGUGGGGAGCGAACGGG